UCAAACUUGGUCAUUUAGAGGAAGUAAAAGUCGUAACAAGGUUUCCGUAGGUGAACCUGCGGAAGGAUCAUUAACAAGUGGAGAAACUCUUUUUUGAGUUAAUCAUUUCCAUUGUGAUUCUAUUGAAAAUUUUUUGAUUUGGGGCUUAAAGAUGGCAUUUGAGAAAUCGAGUGUCGGCCCCAAAACCAAACCAAAAUAUCCUUCUUUAUUUUGACUGAAAUUUGUAAAUUGUAAAAAAUUUGCUUAAAUAACUUUCAACAACGGAUCUCUUGGUUCUCGCAUCGAUGAAGAACGCAGC
rnacentral:misc_RNA from 1 species